GAGUUUGAUCCUGGCUCAGAGUGAACGCUGGCGGCAGGCCUAAUACAUGCAAGUCGAACGGCAGCACAGCAGAGCUUGCUCUGUGGGUGGCGAGUGGCGGACGGGUGAGGAAUACGUGGGAAUCUGCCCAGUCGUGGGGGAUAACGUAGGGAAACUUACGCUAAUACCGCAUGCGCCCUUCGGGGGGAAAGCCGGGGGAACCUUCGGGCCUGGCGCGAUUGGAUGUGCCCACGUCGGAUUAGCUAGUUGGCGGGGUAAAGGCCCACCAAGGCGACGAUCCGUAGCUGGUCUGAGAGGAUGAUCAGCCACACUGGAACUGAGACACGGUCCAGACUCCUACGGGAGGCAGCAGUAGGGAAUAUUGGACAAUGGGCGCAAGCCUGAUCCAGCCAUGCCGCGUGAGUGAAGAAGGCCCUCGGGUUGUAAAGCUCUUUUGUCCGGAAAGAAAAGCGCCGGGUUAAUACCCUGGUGUCCUGACGGUACCGGAAGAAUAAGCACCGGCUAACUUCGUG
rnacentral:rRNA from 1 species